rnacentral:rRNA from 1 species
AGCGUACACGGUGGAUGCCCUGGCAGUCAGAGGCGAUGAAGGACGUGCUAAUCUGCGAAAAGCGUCGGUAAGGUGAUAUGAACCGUUACAGCCGGCGAUGUCCGAAUGGGGAAACCCAGUGUGAUUCGUCACACUAUCGUUAACUGAAUACAUAGGUUAACGAGGCGAACCGGGGGAACUGAAACAUCUAAGUACCCCGAGGAAAAGAAAUCAACCGAGAUUCCCCCAGUAGCGGCGAGCGAACGGGGAGCAGCCCAGAGUCUGAAUCAGCUUGUGUGUUAGUGGAACGGUCUGGAAAGUCCGACGGUACAGGGUGAUAGUCCCGUACACCAAAAUGCACAGGCUGUGAACUCGAAGAGUAGGGCGGGACACGUGGUAUCCUGUCUGAAUAUGGGGGGACCAUCCUCCAAGGCUAAAUACUCCUGACUGACCGAUAGUGAACCAGUACCGUGAGGGAAAGGCGAAAAGAACCCCGGCGAGGGGAGUGAAAAAGAACCUGAAACCGUGUACGUACAAGCAGUGGGAGCACCUUCGGGUGUGACUGCGUACCUUUUGUAUAAUGGGUCAGCGACUUAUAUUCUGUAGCAAGGUUAACCGUAUAGGGGAGCCGCAGGGAAACCGAGUCUUAACUGGGCGUUAAGUUGCAGGGUAUAGACCCGAAACCCGGUGAUCUAGCCAUGGGCAGGUUGAAGGUUGGGUAACACUAACUGGAGGACCGAACCGACUAAUGUUGAAAAAUUAGCGGAUGACUUGUGGCUGGGGGUGAAAGGCCAAUCAAACCGGGAGAUAGCUGGUUCUCCCCGAAAGCUAUUUAGGUAGCGCCUCGUGAACUCAUCUUCGGGGGUAGAGCACUGUUUCGGCUAGGGGGUCAUCCCGACUUACCAACCCGAUGCAAACUACGAAUACCGAAGAAUGUUAUCACGGGAGACACACGGCGGGUGCUAACGUCCGUCGUGAAGAGGGAAACAACCCAGACCGCCAGCUAAGGUCCCAAAGUCAUGGUUAAGUGGGAAACGAUGUGGGAAGGCACAGACAGCCAGGAUGUUGGCUUAGAAGCAGCCAUCAUUUAAAGAAAGCGUAAUAGCUCACUGGUCGAGUCGGCCUGCGCGGAAGAUGUAACGGGGCUAAACCAUGCACCGAAGCUGCGGCAGCGACACUAUGUGUUGUUGGGUAGGGGAGCGUUCUGUAAGCCUGCGAAGGUGUGCUGUGAGGCAUGCUGGAGGUAUCAGAAGUGCGAAUGCUGACAUAAGUAACGAUAAAGCGGGUGAAAAGCCCGCUCGCCGGAAGACCAAGGGUUCCUGUCCAACGUUAAUCGGGGCAGGGUGAGUCGACCCCUAAGGCGAGGCCGAAAGGCGUAGUCGAUGGGAAACAGGUUAAUAUUCCUGUACUUGGUGUUACUGCGAAGGGGGGACGGAGAAGGCUAUGUUAGCCGGGCGACGGUUGUCCCGGUUUAAGCAUGUAGGCUGGUUAUCCAGGCAAAUCCGGAUAAUCAAGGCUGAGGUGUGAUGACGAGGCACUACGGUGCUGAAGUAACAAAUGCCCUGCUUCCAGGAAAAGCCUCUAAGCAUCAGGUAACAUCAAAUCGUACCCCAAACCGACACAGGUGGUCAGGUAGAGAAUACCAAGGCGCUUGAGAGAACUCGGGUGAAGGAACUAGGCAAAAUGGUGCCGUAACUUCGGGAGAAGGCACGCUGGUGUGUAGGUGAAGCCCCUGCGGGUGGAGCUGAGACCAGUCGAAGAUACCAGCUGGCUGCAACUGUUUAUUAAAAACACAGCACUGUGCAAACACGAAAGUGGACGUAUACGGUGUGACGCCUGCCCGGUGCCGGAAGGUUAAUUGAUGGGGUUAUCCGUAAGGAGAAGCUCUUGAUCGAAGCCCCGGUAAACGGCGGCCGUAACUAUAACGGUCCUAAGGUAGCGAAAUUCCUUGUCGGGUAAGUUCCGACCUGCACGAAUGGCGUAAUGAUGGCCAGGCUGUCUCCACCCGAGACUCAGUGAAAUUGAACUCGCUGUGAAGAUGCAGUGUACCCGCGGCAAGACGGAAAGACCCCGUGAACCUUUACUAUAGCUUGACACUGAACAUUGAGCCUUGAUGUGUAGGAUAGGUGGGAGGCUUUGAAGCGUGGACGCCAGUCUGCGUGGAGCCAACCUUGAAAUACCACCCUUUAAUGUUUGAUGUUCUAACGUUGGCCCCUGACCGGGGUUGCGGACAGUGUCUGGUGGGUAGUUUGACUGGGGCGGUCUCCUCCCAAAGCGUAACGGAGGAGCACGAAGGUUAGCUAAUCCUGGUCGGACAUCAGGAGGUUAGUGCAAUGGCAUAAGCUAGCUUGACUGCGAGCGUGACGGCGCGAGCAGGUGCGAAAGCAGGUCAUAGUGAUCCGGUGGUUCUGAAUGGAAGGGCCAUCGCUCAACGGAUAAAAGGUACUCCGGGGAUAACAGGCUGAUACCGCCCAAGAGUUCAUAUCGACGGCGGUGUUUGGCACCUCGAUGUCGGCUCAUCACAUCCUGGGGCUGAAGUAGGUCCCAAGGGUAUGGCUGUUCGCCAUUUAAAGUGGUACGCGAGCUGGGUUUAGAACGUCGUGAGACAGUUCGGUCCCUAUCUGCCGUGGGCGCUGGAGAAUUGAGGGGGGCUGCUCCUAGUACGAGAGGACCGGAGUGGACGCAUCACUGGUGUUCGGGUUGUCAUGCCAAUGGCACUGCCCGGUAGCUAAAUGCGGAAGAGAUAAGUGCUGAAAGCAUCUAAGCACGAAACUUGCCCCGAGAUGAGUUCU